CAGGUAGUUGGUGAGGUAACGGCUCACCAAGCCGAUGACCGAUAGCUGUUCUGAGAGGAAGAUCAGCCACACUGGGACUGUGACACGGCCCAGACUCCUACGGGAGGCAGCAGCGAGGAAUAUUGCACAAUGGAGGAAACUCUGAUGCAGUAACGCCGCGUGGGGGAAGAAGACCUUCGGGUUGUAAACCUCUUUUUGUAAAGACGAGUGAGGACGGUAUUUGCAGAAUAAGUCUCGGCUAACUACGUGCCAGCAGCCGCGGUAAGACGUAGGAGGCGAGCGUUAUCCGGAUUCACUGGGCGUAAAGCGCAUGUAGGCGGAUGUCUAAGUCGUGUGUUAAAGCCCCUGGCUCAACUGGGGGAGGUCAUGCGAGACUGGAUGACUUGAGGGCAACAGAGGCACGUGGAACUCCCGGUGUAGCGGUGGAAUGCGUAGAGAUCGGGAAGAACACCCGUGGCGAAGGCGGCGUGCUGGGUUGCAACUGACGCUGAGAUGCGAAAGUGUGGGGAGCAAACGGGAUUAGAUACCCCGGUAGUCCACACUGUAAACGAUGAACCCUAGGUGUGGGGGGAUAAAACCCUCUGUGCCGAAGCUAAC
rnacentral:rRNA from 1 species